CAGAGCAAGAAGAAAGAUAAGAGGAGAAGACAGCGAGGAGGAAGACUGAGCAGAGACGACAGGAUCCAAGACCACGCAUGCUGCCCAUGGGACAGAUGUGGAUUCAGCAGAGCCACGGAGUUUCCAGAAGGCCGCUGCGUAACUGCCAACCAAGCAAGGAAUGAAAGGUGGGAAGAGCACCACAACUUCGAGAUCCUUCCUCCGAGUGAACUACUCUAUUCCCAUUGGUUUAAAGACUCUGAGCGAGGCAGUCCCACUGUUGUGAGGACAAGGCUUAAAAACCGCCCUGUACCGAGCAGGUUUUAUGG
rnacentral:lncRNA from 1 species